GAUGAACGCUAGCGGCAGGCCUAAUACAUGCAAGCCGAACGGCAAGUUUGAUAGCAAUAUUGGACCUAGAGUGGCGCAAGGGUGCGUAACACGUAUGCAACCUGCCCGCGACAGGAGGAUAGCUCCCCGAAAGGGGAAUUAACCCUCCAUAACACCAUGAGAAGGCAUCUGAUUAUGGUUAAACCGCAAGGGGUCGCGGAUGGGCAUGCGGUUGAUUAGCUAGUUGGCGGGGUAAAGGCCCACCAAGGCGGUGAUCAAUAGGGGUUCUGAGAGGAAGGUCCCCCAAACUGGCACUGAGUUACGGGCCAGACUCCUACGGGAGGCAGCAGUAGGUAAUAUUGGAGAAUGGUUGCAAGACUGAUCCAGCCAUGCCGCGUGGAGGAAGAAGGCCUUCUGGGUCGUAAACUGCUUUUUCCUGUGGAUAAAAUACCCGUGCGCGGGGAAUUGAAGGUAACAGGAGAAUAAGCCACGGCUAACUACGUG
rnacentral:rRNA from 1 species